UACAGAGGGUGCAAGCGUUGUUCGGAAUUACUGGGCGUAAAGGGCUCGUAGGCGGCCAACUAAGUCAGACGUGAAAUCCCUCAGCUUAACUGGGGAACUGCGUCUGAUACUGGAUGGCUUGGAUUUGGGAGAGGGAUGCGGAAUUCCAGGUGUGGCGGUGAAAUGCGUAGAUAUCUGGAGGAACACCGGUGGCGAAGGCGGCAUCCUGGACCAAUAUUGACGCUGAGGAGCGAAAGCCAGGGGAGCAAACGGG
rnacentral:rRNA from 1 species